UCAGAGGGAGGUAGAAUNCCACGUGUAGCAGUGAAAUGCGUGGAGAUGUGGAGGAAUACCGAUGGCGAAGGCAGCCUCCUGGGAUAACACUGACGNUCAUGCCCGAAAGCGUGGUAGCAAACAGGAUUAGAUACCCUGGUAGUCCACGCCCUAAACGAUGUCGAUUAGCUGUUGGGCAGCAUGACUGCUUAGUAGCGAAGCUAACGCGUGAAAUCGACCGCCUGGGGAGUACGGUCGCGAGAUUAAAACUCAAAGGAAUUGACGGGGACCCGCACAAGCGGUGGAUGAUGUGGAUUAAUUCGAUGCAACGCGAAGAACCUUACCUGGUCUUGACAUGUACGGAACCCCCCAGAGACGGAGGGGUGCCUUCGGGAGCCGUAACACAGGUGCUGCAUGGCUGUCGUCAGCUCGUGUCGUGAGAUGUUGGGUUAAGUCCCGCAACGAGCGCAACCCUUGUCAUUAGUUGCCAUCAUUAAGUUGGGCACUCUAAUGAGACUGCCGGUGACAAGCCGGAGGAAGGUGGGGAUGACGUCAAGUCCUCAUGGCCCUUAUGACCAGGGCUUCACACGUCAUACAAUGGUCGGUACAGAGGGUAGCCAAGCCGCGAGGUGGAGCCAAUCUCACAGAACCGAUCGUAGUCCGGAUUGCACUCUGCAACUCGAGUGCAUGAAGUCGGAAUCGCUAGUAAUCGCAGGUCAGCAUACUGCGGUGAAUACGUUCCCGGGUCUUGUACAC
rnacentral:rRNA from 1 species